rnacentral:rRNA from 1 species
ACGGGAGGCAGCAGUAGGGAAUAUUGCACAAUGGGGGGAACCCUGAUGCAGCAACGCCGCGUGUGGGAAGAAGCAUUUCGGUGUGUAAACCACUGUCGUGAGGGAAUAAUGCUUGGCUCCGGCCAAGUUGAAUGUACCUCGAAAGGAAGCACCGGCAAACUUCGUGCCAGCAGCCGCGGUAAUACGAGGGGUGCAAGCGUUGUUCGGAAUCACUGGGCGUAAAGGGAGCGUAGGCGGAGACGCAAGCAGUCUGCACAAUACCGGGGCCCAACCCCGGACCUGCAGACUGGACUGUGUCUCUUGGAUAGUUCAGGGGCAGGCGGAAUUCCUGGUGUAGCGGUGGAAUGCGUAGAGGUCAGGAAGAACACCGAUGGCGAAGGCAGCCUGCUGGGGACUCAUCGACGCUGAGGCUCGAAAGUGCGGGUAGCAAACAGGAUUAGAUACCCUGGUA